CACUGAACAAGAUACAAGUGAAACCGGCCGCUUACUCCUUGGAGUCCGCUCUCUAAAAAAUUGUUGGAGAGCAAUUAAAUAAUUAAUCGAUCUAACUAUCCCUUUUGUAAUUUUUUAUUUGUUUAUGCUCUUCUUCGUUAAAAAGAUAAACUCGUUUUGCUAAUCAUAUUCUCCAAAAUUGCGUUCUAUAGAUGGGGAGGUUACAGACGUCUUACCGAUUUUCACAACAAUUACAGCGAAAAGCAUAUUGACGUUCUCUACAAAUUGAAACUCUCAUAUUAUUCUGGACACUAUAUAGGAGCCCCCAUUUUUAAGUAAAUCAAUAGCACAGAGCAAAAGAACUUAAAACUGAUGUAUAGUUGCUUAAAUUUAUUUAUACAGUAAAAUCUUAUGUGUUG